CGCGUAGGGGGGCGAGCGUUGUCCGGAUUUAUUGGGCGUAAAGAGCUCGUAGGCGGCUCAGUAAGUCAGGUGUGAAAACUCCAGGCUCAACCUGGAGACGCCACCUGAUACUGCUGUGGCUAGAGUCCGGUAGGGGAGCAUGGAAUUCCUGGUGUAGCGGUGAAAUGCGCAGAUAUCAGGAGGAACACCAGUGGCGAAGGCGGUGCUCUGGGCCACUACUGACGCUGAGAAGCGAAAGCAUGGGGAGCAAACGGG
rnacentral:rRNA from 1 species